UGGGGAAUAUUGGACAAUGGGCGAAAGCCUGAUCCAGCCACGCCGCGUGUGUGAAGAAGGUCUUCGGAUUGUAAAGCACUUUAAGUUGGGAGGAAGGGCAGUAAGCGAAUACCUUGCUGUUUUGACGUUACCGACAGAAUAAGCACCGGCUAACUCUGUGCCAGCAGCCGCGGUAAUACAGAGGGUGCAAGCGUUAAUCGGAAUUACUGGGCGUAAAGCGCGCGUAGGUGGUUCGUUAAGUUGAAUGUGAAAGACCCGGGCUCAACCUCGGAACUGCAUCCAAAACUGGCGAGCUAGAGGAGGGCAGAGGGUGGUGGAAUAUUCUGUGUAGCGGUGAAAUGCUUAGAUAUAGGAAGGAACACCAGUGGCGAAGGCGACCACCUGCGCUCAUACUGACACUGAGGUGCGAAAGAGUGGGGAGCAAACAGG
rnacentral:rRNA from 1 species